UACAGAGGGCCCAAGCGUUGUUCGGAUUUAUUGGGCGUAAAGGGUGCGUAGGCGGCAGUGUAAGUUGGACGUGAAAUCCUGGGGCUCAACCUCAGAAUUGCGUUCAAUACUGCAUUGCUAGGGCGCUGUAGAGGAGAUUGGAAUUUACGGUGUAGCAGUGAAAUGCGUAGAUAUCGUAAGGAAGACCAGUGGCGAAAGCGAAUCUCUGGGCAGAAGCCGACGCUGAGGCACGAAGGCCAGGGGAGCAAACGGG
rnacentral:rRNA from 1 species